GGCGUUGUAGCAAAGUGGUUACUGCGAUUGACUCGAAUGCUUCCAUCCGUCAUCAAUUCCCUUCGGGGGCGUAGGUUCGAAUCCUGCCAACGUCG